rnacentral:rRNA from 1 species
CCCUUAGAUGUUCUGGGCCGCACGCGUGCUACACUGAGUGGAUCAGCGGGUCAGGUUGCGCGAAAGUGUUUCCUAAUCUUUAAAUCCGCUCGUGAUGGGGAUUGACGGUUGCAAUUUUCCGUCAUGAACGAGGAAUACCUUGUAAGCGCGGGUCAUCAUCCCGCGCUGAAUACGUCCCUGCCCUUUGUACACACCGCCCGUCGUUCCUACCGAUUGAGUGGUCCGGUGAGGCUUUGGGAUCUGAGCGGAAAGAGCGUUUCGCUGUUUCUGCCCGGAAAACUCAGUCGAACCUUAUCAUUUAGAGGAAGGAGAAGUCGUAACA